UGGGGAAUUUUGGACAAUGGGCGAAAGCCUGAUCCAGCAAUGCCGCGUGUGUGAAGAAGGCCUUCGGGUUGUAAAGCACUUUUGUCCGGAAAGAAAUCCUUGGCUCUAAUACAGUCGGGGGAUGACGGUACCGGAAGAAUAAGCACCGGCUAACUACGUGCCAGCAGCCGCGGUAAUACGUAGGGUGCAAGCGUUAAUCGGAAUUACUGGGCGUAAAGCGUGCGCAGGCGGUUUGCUAAGACCGAUGUGAAAUCCCCGGGCUCAACCUGGGAACUGCAUUGGUGACUGGCAGGCUAGAGUAUGGCAGAGGGGGGUAGAAUUCCACGUGUAGCAGUGAAAUGCGUAGAGAUGUGGAGGAAUACCGAUGGCGAAGGCAGCCCCCUGGGCCAAUACUGACGCUCAUGCACGAAAGCGUGGGGAGCAAACAGGAUUAGAUACCCUGGUAGUCCACGCCCUAAACGAUGUCAACUAGUUGUUGGGGGAUUCAUUUUCCUUAGUAACGUAGCUAACGCGUGAAGUUGACCGCCUGGGGAGUACGGUCGCAAGAUUAAAACUCAAAUGAAUUGACGGGGUCAUA
rnacentral:rRNA from 1 species